rnacentral:rRNA from 1 species
UACGGGGGGAGCAAGCGUUGUUCGGAUUUACUGGGCGUAAAGGGCGCGUAGGCGGCCUCCGCAAGUCAGUUGUGAAAUCUCCGAGCUUAACUCGGAAAGGUCAACUGAUACUGCGGGGCUAGAGUGCGGAAGGGGCAACUGGAAUUCUUGGUGUAGCGGUGAAAUUCGUAGAUAUUGGGAAGAACACCGGUGGCGAAGGCGGCCAUCUGGACCGCAACUGACGCUGAGGCGCGAAAGCGUGGGGAGCAAACAGG